rnacentral:rRNA from 1 species
AUUGAACGCUGGCGGCAUGCUUUACACAUGCAAGUCGAGCGGCAGCGCGGGGGCAACCCCUGGCGGCGAGCGGCGAACGGGUGAGUAAUGCAUCGGAACGUAUCCUGUAGUGGGGACAACCCAGCGAAAGUUGGGCUAAUACCGCAUGAGCUCUGAGGAGGAAAGCGGGGGACCUGAAAGGGCCUCGCGCUGCCGGAGCGGCCGAUGUCCGAUUAGCUAGUUGGUGGGGUAAAGGCUUACCAAGGCGACGAUCGGUAGCUGGUCUGAGAGGAUGAUCAGCCACACUGGGACUGAGACACGGCCCAGACUCCUACGGGAGGCAGCAGUGGGGAAUUUUGGACAAUGGGGGCAACCCUGAUCCAGCCAUGCCGCGUGAGUGAAGAAGGCCUUCGGGUUGUAAAGCUCUUUCGGACGGAACGAAAUGGGCGGGACUAAUACUCCUGUCCGAUGACGGUACCGUAAGAAGAAGCACCGGCUAACUACGUG